rnacentral:rRNA from 1 species
CAGCAGUCGCCACGGUAAUACAGAGGGUGCGAGCGUUAAUCGGAUUUACUGGGCGUAAAGCGUGCGUAGGCGGCUUUUUAAGUCGGAUGUGAAAUCCCUGAGCUUAACUUAGGAAUUGCAUUCGAUACUGGGAAGCUAGAGUAUGGGAGAGGAUGGUAGAAUUCCAGGUGUAGCGGUGAAAUGCGUAGAGAUCUGGAGGAAUACCGAUGGCGAAGGCAGCCAUCUGGCCUAAUACUGACGCUGAGGUACGAAAGCAUGGGGAGCAAACAGGAUUAGAUACCCCCGUAGUCCCUGUCUCUUAUAA